rnacentral:rRNA from 1 species
GCCUACCAAGGCGACGAUCCGUAGCUGGUCUGAGAGGAUGAUCAGCCACAUCGGGACUGAGACACGGCCCGAACUCCUACGGGAGGCAGCAGUGGGGAAUAUUGGACAAUGGGGGCAACCCUGAUCCAGCCAUGCCGCGUGUGUGAAGAAGGCUUUCGGGUUGUAAAGCACUUUCAGUAGGGAGGAAAACCUUAUGGUUAAUACCCAUGAGGCUUGACGUUACCUACAGAAGAAGCACCGGCUAACUCCGUGCCAGCAGCCGCGGUAAUACGGAGGGUGCAAGCGUUAAUCGGAAUUACUGGGCGUAAAGCGCGCGUAGGUGGUUUGGUAAGCGAGAUGUGAAAGCCCCGGGCUUAACCUGGGAACGGCAUUUCGAACUGUCAGACUAGAGUGUGGUAGAGGGUAGUGGAAUUUCCUGUGUAGCGGUGAAAUGCGUAGAUAUAGGAAGGNAANNCACCAGUGGCGAAGGCGGCUACCUGGACCAACACUGACACUGAGGUGCGAAAGCGUGGGGAGCAAACAGGANNAGGAUACCCUGGUAGUCCACGCCGUAAACGAUGUCAACUAGCCGUUGGGACUCUUGAAGUCUUAGUGGCGCAGCUAACGCACUAAGUUGACCGCNCUGGGGAGUACGGCCGNNCAAGNGUUAAAACUCAAAUGAAUUGACGGGGGCCCGCACAAGCGGUGGAGCAUGUGGUUUAAUUCGACGCAACGCGAAGAACCUUACCUGGCCUUGACAUCCAGAGAACUUUCCAGAGAUGGAUUGGUGCCUUCGGGAACUCUGAGACAGGUGCUGCAUGGCCGUCGUCAGCUCGUGUCGUGAGAUGUUGGGUUAAGUCCCGUAACGAGCGCAACCCCUAUCCCUGGUUGCUAGCAGGUAAUGCUGAGAACUCCAGGGAGACUGCCGGUGACAAACCGGAGGAAGGUGGGGAUGACGUCAGGUCAUCAUGGCCCUUACGGCCAGGGCUACACACGUGCUACAAUGGCGCGUACAGAGGGCUGCCAACUCGCGAGAGUGAGCCAAUCCCUUAAAACGCGUCGUAGUCCGGAUCGGAGUCUGCAACUCGACUCCGUGAAGUCGGAAUCGCUAGUAAUCGCGAAUCAGAAUGUCGCGGUGAAUACGUU